AAAACUAAAAAUCUAUAAAAAAUGUAAACACCUUCAAAUUUAGUAUAAAUUGAAAGUGACUCACUCACAAUUUAACAAAGGAAUCCCUGACUUUCAAACUACUACUACUACUUAAUACAAAAAUAAUUUAACAAAUUCUUUUUCUUUAAUUAUAAAUCUAUUUAAUUAUUUACUUAAGAUAUCAUGACUUUCACGCUGUCAUGCUGCUGUGAAGCCACAGCACAGCAAGCAAGCGUUUGCUAACAAAAAAAGUGAAAAAACAGAAAUAUAUUUAUAACUAACGAUAAAAAGUAGUAAAAGUAACGUCAUCACUACAGACUGCAGUAUUAAUAAGUAAAGUUGAAAGUGUUUUGCGGAUCGGUUAAAGUGGUUUUAACCAAUCUUGUGUGUGUGUGUGUGUGUGUUGCUUGGUUGACUUGUAAGACAUGCAAUAAUUGACAAUGAAAAAUGUCGUCAACAUAUUAUUGCAUACUUUUUAUGUGCAUACACAUUGAGGCAGUUUUCUAAGAAAUUCUUUUAAUUACUGUAUUUAACAAAAAAAAAAGAGAACAACAAAGAAACAAGUACAAGUUUGUUUAAAGCUGCUAGAAGAAAGAAAAAAAUGCUGUCAUUGAAAUUUAUUUUGAUCUUAAUAAUAAGUGAAAGUUUUCCAUCAACAACUAACCACCAACAACAAUGAAAAACAGCUACAGCAAUAACAACAACUACAUGACAACAGCGCAGCACAGCACUAUUUGAUGAAAAAAAUACGCCGCAACAAUUUAUAAUCUUCCUUUGUG